GGGCUUGACAUCCCACGAACCUGCCCGAAAAGGUGGGGUGCCCGCAAGGGAGCGUGGAGACGGGUGGUGCAUGGCUGUCGUCAGCUCGUGUCGUGAGAUGUUGGGUUAAGUCCCGCAACGAGCGCAACCCUCACCCCUAGUUGCCACCGGGUUAAGCCGAGCACUCAAGGGGAACUGCCAGCGUCAAGCUGGAGGAAGGCGGGGAUGACGUCAAGUCACCAUGCCCCUUACGCCCUGGGCUACACACGUGCUACAAUGGCCAGCACAAAGGGACGCGAGACUGCGAAGUGGAGCUAAUCCCAAAAAGCUGGUCUAAGUUCAGAUUGCAGUCUGCAGCUCGACUGCAUGAAGGAGGAAUCGCUAGUAAUCGCGCAUCAGCCCGGCGCGGUGAAUACGUUCCCGGGCCUUGUACACACCGCCCGUCACACCACGAAAGCUGUCUGUACUCGAAGUCGCUGAG
rnacentral:rRNA from 1 species